rnacentral:lncRNA from 1 species
GAAACGUCUUUCUUUUAUAACAAACCUGCUCCCCGAGAUGAAACACCACUCCCGGGUCUGAGUCAGAGUGACAGAAUCAGGAUCAGAUCACAACCCAGGCUACUUUUUUUUUUUCCCCCUUCUUUUCAUCCCACGCAUCACAUGGGUUGGGCUCCCUACGUUGGGGACCUGGCUUACUCGACGCUCAUCAUCAUAGGUCUGACACUUAGUCGAUGUAGCUAUCCCCACCUCAGGGCAACAAGACUCGGGCUGGCAGACAGACUGGGGAAGCCAACCUGCUUCCUGCUGGGCAUGGCAGGAUCCUGGCAAACGGCAUAUGGCAAAUGCUCACACAAAAUGUGCUGGCUUGAUCAGACCAAUAUGCUCCUGUCAAGAGCAGCAGAACUCGUAGACUCAGGGUGCAUUCUAUCCAGGUUCCUAAACUGAGCUUGGAAGGAAGAGGAAAGAGCUGCAGAGGCGGAGACUCUGACCCCAAAGCGAUCGAGGGCCCUCCCCUGGCUUCCGUGUCCCUGUGGCAGGCGGUGGUGGUCGAAAUCUCUGCCCCUCAGAGUCCUGGGGAGGAUGGAUGGAACAGGAGGAGCAUCAUGAGAAGGCUUCCUGUAAACUACGGAGGGUGAGGGGACGGAGCGUGAGGGAACGUCGUGAGAUGGCACAGCUUGCACACAGAAGAUUCUGAGUGGUGCCAAGGUGAAUAAAGAUGCCUAAGUGCUCGUGGAAGCCAGCAGAGGGUGUAGGGUCUCCUGGAGCCACAUCUCUGGAGUUACAUGAAGUUGUGGACCUCUCAACAUGGGUUCUGGGAACUGAACCCAGGUCCUCUGGAAGGACAUCGAGUGCUCUUAACCACUGAGCCAUCUCUGCAGCCUAACCCCAUCCCUUGGAGGCUGAAGCAAAGCAAGUUCAAUGACCGUGCGACCUGGCUCUUGUUUGGGCCUAAGGAAAAGCCGACUGUAAGCCGGGAAGCAUCUCUGGCAAGAACAAGGAAGGAUUAAGCACGUCUGUGGUUGUGCGCAGGGAUCACAAGGUGCUCCUGCAGUGGGAAGAGCCACCACUAGGGGCGCUCCAAGUCUUGUAUUUUCUACCUUGAAAACUCGUUUCCCUGUGGCUGCCCUCCAAAUCCAACGGAGAUGAAUGGCUUUUAGUUUACCUAGCUGAUUUAAU